AUGAACGCUGGCGGCGUGCUUAACACAUGCAAGUCGAACGGUGAAGCCAAGCUUGCUUGGUGGAUCAGUGGCGAACGGGUGAGUAACACGUGAGCAACCUGCCCUGGACUCUGGGAUAAGCGCUGGAAACGGCGUCUAAUACUGGAUAUGAGCCUCUUCCGCAUGGUGGGGGUUGGAAAGAUUUUUUGGUCUGGGAUGGGCUCGCGGCCUAUCAGCUUGUUGGUGAGGUAAUGGCUCACCAAGGCGUCGACGGGUAGCGGGCCUGAGAGGGUGACCGGCCACACUGGGACUGAGACACGGCCCAGACUCCUACGGGAGGCAGCAGUGGGGAAUAUUGCACAAUGGGCGAAAGCCUGAUGCAGCAACGCCGCGUGAGGGAUGACGGCCUUCGGGUUGUAAACCUCUUUUAGCAGGGAAGAAGCGAAAGUGACGGUACCUGCAGAAAAAGCGCCGGCUAACUACGUGC
rnacentral:rRNA from 1 species